ensembl:lncRNA
CCUGAUCUCAUCUGACCUCGGAAGCAAAGCAGAGUUGGGCCUGGUUAGUACUUGGUUGGGAGACUGAAUGGGAAUACUAGGUGCUGUAAGCUUUUUAUUUGGAUCAGUGUUUUCAUGGCCUCUGCACAACAUCCUGUUUUGGGAUAAAGGUUGGACACAGGUUUGAAGGGGACCCAAUCAAUCAAUCAAUCAAUCAGGGACUCAAUCAAUCAAUCAAUCAAUCAAUCAAUCAAUCAAUCAAUCAGUCAGUCUUUUGAUUACACUAUUUAAAUAGGCCCCAUUUGGGGUCAGCUUUCGCUUACGGCCAUACCACUCUGAAAAAGCCUGAUCUCAUCUGACCUCGGAAGCAAAGCAGCGUUGGGCCUGGUUAGUACUUGGUUGGGAAACUGAAUGGGAAUACUAGGUGCUGUAAGCUUUUUAUUUGGAUCAGUGUUUUCAUGGCCUCUGCACAACAUCCUGUUUUGGGAUAAAG